rnacentral:ncRNA from 1 species
UGGAACCUUCGGGGUCCUUUAACCAUAGCAGGCCAAUCGCCUGCGUUUAAAAGCGGAAGACAGUAA